AUUGAACGCUGGCGGCAUGCUUUACACAUGCAAGUCGAACGGUAACAGGCCGCAAGGUGCUGACGAGUGGCGAACGGGUGAGUAAUGCAUCGGAACGUGCCCAGUCGUGGGGGAUAACGCAGCGAAAGCUGUGCUAAUACCGCAUACGAUCUAUGGAUGAAAGCGGGGGCCCGUAAGGCCUCGCGCGAUUGGAGCGGCCGGUGGCAGAUUAGGUAGUUGGUGGGGUAAAGGCCUACCAAGCCAACGAUCUGUAGCUGGUCUGAGAGGACGACCAGCCACACUGGGACUGAGACACGGCCCAGACUCCGACGGGAGGCAGCAGUGGGGAAUUUUGGACAAUGGGCGCAAGCCUGAUCCAGCAAUGCCGCGUGCAGGAAGAAGGCCUUCGGGUUGUAAACUGCUUUUGUACGGAACGAAACGGUCUGGGUUAAUACCCUGGACUAAUGACGGUACCGUAAGAAUAAGCCCCGGCUAACUUCGUGCCAGCCGCCGCGGUAAAAC
rnacentral:rRNA from 1 species